AGUGGACCUAAGCUGUAAAACUGGAGCUCGGCCAUAUAUUUGGGCCUCAGAUGUUAAACUGGGGCUCAGCCAUGAACUUGGGACCGCAGAUUAAAAAAAAUGGGGCCCAGCGGUAAAAUCAGAACCUAAGACGUAAAACAGGGGCUCAGUCGUAAAAAUAGAGGCCUCAGACGUAAAACUGGGGCCCACAGACGUAAAUUGCGGCUCAGCCGUAAAUCUGAAGCCCCAGAUGCAAAACCAGAUCUUCAGAUACAACUGGGGCCUCAGAGGUGAAUCAGAGAUGCAGGCACGUGUCAGUCUCAGGCGGAGUAUCUGGCGACCUGGGAAGGGAGGGCAGCGCAGGAUGUGCCAUUCUGUGACCGGAGGGAACGUGGGCCCCGAGUGCUCCUCAGACCAUAUUCCUUCCCCUCUGAGCUCGCCAGCAGCAGACCCCUUCCAGGUCCCCAACACCGCAGCACCAGCCGGGUGGUCCCAAGGAUUUGGAUGCCCAUGGCUUUGGGGAGUUAUCACUCACUCCACCUAGCACAAAGGCAAGGGAGGAGUAUGGGGACAGUGCCUGCAGACCUUGUAUGUGGAGGCUGUAAAUAAUGAAGAAUUACAGAUCAGGAAGUUUGAUCAGCAGAAUGUUAAAGGACCUUGAAAACAUUUGCAAAGCUUCUCUAAGUGAUAGAGCCAUUCUUUCAGCUGACCAUGCUCCUGAAACAGUGUCAUCUUCUCCAGAGAACACUUGGAUUUGGUACUUACUGAGGUCUAGUGGGCCACACAGUUUGUCUGCUGCCAAUCAGAUGGAGAACUCGACUUCUCCACUCCAGGCUGGCAUAUAACUGAACUGGAGACUGAACCCCCAGUUUAAAUGCAUCAACACGAGGAACAGAAACAAUCCUGAAGGAAUAGCCGACACUGGACUGUAACAGGUGUUCACUCUCUCCUUCUGUCAAGUUGGUCUGCAGCUCUGGAUGGAAGCCAUUUCCAGAGAAAGGAUCCAUGUCCUGAGUCUCAGAAGGAAUUGUAAUGAGCGCAUACGCCGUGGAGGACUGAAUCCUUUUACCUCUGGGUUUAUGUCUUCACACAGUACUGGAGACUGGCAGCUAUGCUUCCAUGUGUGACAGGACGUCCAUCUGUCUGAAGGCCAGCUGUUGUUCCAUGGUGUGGAUACAGCACAUCUUCUCCUCCUUCAUCCGCCAGUGGGCUCUCAGGCUCUUCCUCCUCUGGGCCUUUCUGAGGAAUGCUGCGGUGAACAUGGUCCGUGACUUCAGUUCUCUCGGAUGGAUAUAUCCUCACAAGUGGCAUUGCUGGUGCACAGGGCAAGCCCACUUUUAAUUUUUGGAGGGACCGUCACACUGGUUCCGAGGUGGCCAGCCUUCCUACCAGCGGUGCACCAGGGCUCAGCGCCUCAUGUCUCUUGUGAGGAAACAGAAAGGAAAGCAUCCCAGAGAAAAUAAUAGAACAAUAACAUCUGAUAAGAAUAGGAAUGCAAAUCGAAUAACAUUUUAAAGAGGCAAAUAACACAAGGAAGGGAGAAUCUAAUUUACAAAACACUGAAAAGACUGAGAGAGACUAGGAGAGUAAAUUGUCAUUCAGAUUUGUGUUCAUGUCAAGACUUGGGUGUGGCCUGGCUUUAUCCUACCUUAGCUUCAGUCUCAACACUGGACCCCCUUCCCUCAGGACCAAGACUUAAGGGACACAACAUGUGUCUCUUGGUCCUCUUCCUUCCUGCCCAGCUCAGGGUGUGCACAGAGUAGCAUUAGGGCAGGUGUGUGAUGAGUGACCCAGAGGCAGUCCUGGAGCUGCAGGGACCAAACCUCCACCUGAACCAGGGCUUCUGUUUGGGAACCGCCUGCCCCCUCCCUGACUCUGUCACUUGCUGACCCAGGUCCUCAUUCUGGGUGACGAAUCCCCUCCCCUGCUCUCCCUUUAGCCCCAGCCCAGCAGAGCUGGGUUCUUUACUCUCUGAUAUGGCUUACAAACUUUCCAAUUGCAAUUUCUGUUUUAAAUAAAUGAAAGAGAAACAGAACGUGACCACUUCAUCGGGUAUUUGGCCACCCUCUCUCCUCACCACCAAACCCAGUCAGAGCCUCCCCACGAGUGGAUCCAUGACUCCAACUCAGGCACUAAACAGAACCAAGUUUGGCUGCUGCUGACAGCUCCCUAAUCCUACUGGACCAGGUCAUUUGUGGCAGAUGCCAGGUAAGAGAUGGGGCCUCUAGACCUGGGUCUGCUCAGGAAAUAUCAGAAGAAGGUAGUGUUGUUUAGGAAACAAAAGCCUGACAAAUCCAGCUGAAAGAACACUGCAGAGACACACAUCUGAAGACCUUCGUGGACUGGGAGGGGGCCCAGGCCAUCGUAGGAGCUGUGUGCUCAAGGGGGACCCGGGAAGAGCUGCCCUCCCCGAGGACUUGAGUUGAACAGGGACAUAUGGGCUCCACAGAAGUGUAUGGGGUGUUGGAAUGCUGUUCAUAGUGAUGGUUCUUAUGACUGAAAAUCAGGACGUCAAGUUUAACUCUGAUGGUGAGAUCCUUUGAACUCUGCCCCCUUCCUCCCAGAAUCAAGAAGCAGAAGCAGAGGAAGAAGACCUUGAGGUUAUUGGUUAUUACCAAAACCUGAAUCAGGGGUCAGAGCACACUGAUCUCAGCCUGUGAAAGCCCUGACCUCCCCCCCCCCCGCCAAGUACACCUGCUCUCUGAAGCUGCACAUACCCUCUUAGCAGCACUAAGUAAAGUCAGAACAGGGCACCCCUUCCCCUGAGGAAACAGUUGGCCUUCCCAACAGAGAACAGAAAAGCAAGCCCCAGUCUGUUAUCUCUAGGGGUGAGGGUGGCUGCCUUUGAAGGACAGACUCAGCCACUCAAAGAUACGUCAGUACCCUGUCAAUCCCAAGUGACUCACACCAAAAAACAUGUCAGAAGCAGCUCUAGAAAAUGCACAACUUCAGAGAGAAAUAAUGGGUAGUUUGCAUGAAAGUGCUUAUCUUCUGGAAAACCUGAAACUCCUCCUCAAGAGGCCUUGGAAUAGAAAGAAAGAGGCAGGAACUAAAGAAACUUUUGUGUGAAACCAUGUUGAAGAUGCACUCAGCUCUUUUUUAGAGGUUACACAGAUGGUGACAGCUUGAAAUUGGGCAGAAAAGGUGACUCAGAAAAUGGAGACCAUCUAGACUACUGGUCAGUAGUUAGAGAAACUCACUGAUGCUGUGGCAUGUCAAUACAGCAUGGCACUGGCAAAAGAAUAGACAGAUCAGUGGAACAGAGUCGAGAGCCCAGAACAGGACCUGAACAAACGUAGUCAACUGAUGCCUGGCAAAGGAGCAAAGGCAGUAUGAUGGAGGAAAAGCGGCGUUUUCAAUAAAUGAUGCUGGGAUGACUGAAUACCCACAUGCAAAAAAAAAAAAAAA
rnacentral:lncRNA from 1 species